UGAGGAAUAUUGGUCAAUGGGCGAGAGCCUGAACCAGCCAAAUCGCGUGAAGGAAGACUGCCUUAUGGGUUGUAAACUUCUUUUAUACAGGAAUAAAAAACGGGGACGUGUCCCUUAUUGCAUGUACUGUAUGAAUAAGCAUCGGCUAACUCCGUGCCAGCAGCCGCGGUAAUACGGAGGAUGCGAGCGUUAUCCGGAUUUAUUGGGGUUUAAAGGGUGCGCAGGCGGGCUUUUAAGUCAGCGGUGAAAUCUCGGGGCUUAACUCCGAAACUGCCGUUGAAACUGGGAGUCUUGAGUAUGGAUGAAGUAGGCGGAAUUCGUUGUGUAGCGGUGACAUGCUUAGAUAUAACUAGGAACUCCGAUUGCGUAGGCAGCUUACUAAGCCAUAACUGACGCUCAAGCACGAAAGCGUGGGGAUCAAACAGGAUUAGAUACCCUGGUAGUCCACGCCGUAAACGAUGAUUACUAGUUGUAUGCGAUAUACCGUAUGUGACUAAGCGAAAGCGAUAAGUAAUCCACCUGGGGAGUACGCCGGCAACGGUGAAACUCAAAGGAAUUGACGGGGUCAUAGC
rnacentral:rRNA from 1 species